GUGCCCACUGUGGCAGCACAUAUAUCAAAAUUGAAACAACAGAGAGAAGAUGAGCACAGCCCCCGAGCCAGGAUGGCAUGCAAAUUCCUGAAGCAUUCCAUAUUAAA
rnacentral:snRNA from 1 species